CAGCCGCCGCGGUAAGACAGAGGUCCCGAGCGUUGUUCGGAUUCAUUGGGCGUAAAGGGUGUGUAGGAGGCCAGGUAAGUCAGGUGUGAAAUCUCAGAGCUUAACUCUGAAACUGCGCUUGAUACUGCUUGGCUAGAGGAUCGGAGGGGGUAACGGAAUUUAUGGUGUAGCAGUGAAAUGCGUAGAUAUCAUAAGGAACACCGGUGGCGAAGGCGGUUACCUGGAAGAUUCCUGACUCUGAAACACGAAAGCCAGGGGAGCAAACGGGAUUAGAUACCCCCGUAGUCCCUGUCUCUUAUAC
rnacentral:rRNA from 1 species